CAAUAGCGUAUAUUAAAGUUGUUGCAGUUAAAAAGCUCGUAGUUGAAUUUCGGGUCCCCGCGCUCGGCGCUUCAUUGUGCCGUCGUGGUGUCCCUCCUCGCCGUAAGGCGUCCUUUACUGUGAAAAAAUUAGAGUGUUCAAAGCAGGCAAUCGCUUGAAUACAUUAGCAUGGAAUAAUAAGAUAGGAUCUUGUCUAUUUUGUUGGUUGCGGACAACGAUAAUGAUUAAUAGGGAUAGUUGGGGGUGUCCGUAUUGAGCUGUCAGAGGUGGAAUUCUUGGAUUUGCUCAAGACGAACUACUGCGAAAGCAUUCACCAAGGAUGUUUUCAUUAA
rnacentral:rRNA from 1 species